CCUACGGGAGGCAGCAGUGGGGAAUAUUGCACAAUGGGGGAAACCCUGAUGCAGCGACGCCGCGUGAGCGAGGAAGUAUUUCGGUAUGUAAAGCUCUAUCAGCAGGGAAGAAAAUGACGGUACCUGACUAAGAAGCCCCGGCUAACUACGUGCCAGCAGCCGCGGUAAUACGUAGGGGGCAAGCGUUAUCCGGAUUUACUGGGUGUAAAGGGAGCGUAGACGGCGUUGCAAGUCAGAUGUGAAAGCCCGGGGCUCAACCCCGGGACUGCAUUUGGAACUGUGAGGCUGGAGUGUCGGAGGGGCAGGCGGAAUUCCUAGUGUAGCGGUGAAAUGCGUAGAUAUUAGGAGGAACACCAGUGGCGAAGGCGGCCUGCUGGACGAUGACUGACGUUGAGGCUCGAAAGCGUGGGGAGCAAACAGGAUUAGAUACCCGGGUAGUC
rnacentral:rRNA from 1 species